UUGCUUUGGCAGCACAUAUACUAAAAUUGGAACAAUACAGAGAAGAUUAACAUGGCCCCUGCACAAGGAUGACACACAAAUUCGUGAAGCAUUCCAUAUUUAU
rnacentral:snRNA from 1 species